rnacentral:rRNA from 1 species
CCUACGGGAGGCAGCAGUGGGGAAUUUUCCGCAAUGGGCGAAAGCCUGACGGAGCAAUACCGCGUGAGGGAAGAAUGCCUACGGGUUGUAAACCUCUUUUAUCAGGGAGGGACAAAAUGACGUGUACCUGAUGAAUAAGCAUCGGCUAACUCUGUGCCAGCAGCCGCGGUAAGACAGAGGAUGCAAGUGUUAUCCGGAAUUACUGGGCGUAAAGCGUCUGUAGGUUGUUGAACAAGUCAACUGUUAAAUCUUGAAGCUCAACUUCAAAAUCGCAGUCGAAACUGUUUGACUAGAGUAUAGUAGAGGUAAAGGGAAUUUCCAGUGGAGCGGUGAAAUGCGUAGAUAUUGGAAAGAACACCGAUGGCGAAAGCACUUUACUGGGCUAUUACUGACACUCAGAGACGACAGCUAGGGUAGCAAAUGGGAUUAGAUACCCCAGUAGUCCUAGCCGUAAACUAUGGAUACUAGAUGUUGAACAGAUCGACCUGUGCAGUAUUAAAGCUAACGCGUUAAGUAUCCCGCCUGGGAAGUAUGCGUCGCGAGAGUAAGUAAACGUACUUAAAUUAGUAAGUUAGUUACGGCGUUGAGACGUGACCGACGGACGACGACGAGGGAGGAGG